rnacentral:lncRNA from 1 species
UUGGGUGGUCUAGGGUAUACUAGGGUUCUAAAGCUCUGUGACAUCAUCAUGAGUCUCAGAAAUGGCCAGAAUGUUCCUUGCUGCAGAUGCAUUGGCCCCAUCUGCAGGUCCUCUUUGACACCUACCUUACUCUCUCCCUCCACUCACACUCUGAGAACUGUGCUCAGGGGCAGCGCUACAACUUCCACAUUGGUCUUUACAGGGCUUGAGUGAUUAUUUCAAGAACAGAACGCUGUGUGGAAACCUUUACCAUAUUUCGUUGUAUCUAAGACACAUUUUUUUUUUUUGAAAUUUAACAUCUCUAAGGUUGGGUUAUGUUUCUUCAUCAUUGUCAGGUUGGAGCUUAAUCAGCAGCACUUUUUUUUAAUGUCACACACAGUAAUGGUGAUGCAUCUCACAAUUGAGAUCAUCUUAGACAUGAUGGAAUAUGGAAUCGUGUGCCUGUUACAAGCCAGGCUCUUGUCUGGGUUCUAGAGACGGUGGAAACCAAGACAGCACCAUCCUCUAGUGGUGUUCACAUCCCACCACAGUGGAGUCAGGACUUUGAAGUCCUCCAUUGGAUCUUCUCGGAAGAUGAGGGAAAUGAGAGAGUGUGGAGAGAGAUUUUGUAAGUCCGGUCUGGAAGUGGUCAUUGUUCAGAAUCCAGCCACGUGGGUACAUGGAACUGUAAGAAUAUGUUCUGUGGACACUACAGAUGCAGAUUAAAUCACCUGCAAAGUGAAUCUGUCAGCCCUAACAAUAAGAAUAGCUCUUUUAUGAUGAGCAGGUGAGACCAGGUAAUUACCGAAGAAAGAGAGUGAUGUGUUCAUUGAAGUCUACUCAUGGAGGAAAGAAGGCUAUUUCAACAUGGGAAACUGAAAUCGGGCAUAUCCCUGCGGAAGAAGAUUUAUGGCUGCAGCAUUCCCAAGAAGGGGUAGGGAGGGGCAUAUAAUGAGCUACCCUCAGGGGAUCAGAAAGAAAAGGGAAGCUGUCUCUUAGCGAAGAAUAAAACUGUGGACUGACCCCCACCCAUUUGCGAAGAAAGUACUGGGUCUUCAGCUUUCAUUGUUCAGCCGGUGGUCUUUGUGGACAACACCAGGGGCCCCUCCUGCUGAAGACUGUCUGGACUUCCUGAUUUUCACUCCUGUAUAAACCCCCUCCCCCAUUACUACCUUUGUCUCCUUGGGGAAAAAAAAUGUUUUUCACUUAAGCAAAAUAAUAACUACCCAGUAUUUGUUUCUGGAGUGAAAUUGUAAACUUCAUUGUACAUUCUUCCUGGCUUUGAUGCUUAUCGUGAAGAGUUCAGUGAAAAUAAAUUGUUUUUAUGAAAGCAGAGAAA